AACGUAGGUACCGAGCGUUAUCCGGAUUUACUGGGCGUAAAGCGCGUUCAGGCGGUUUGGCAAGUCGGGCAUGAAAUCUCUCGGCUCAACCGGGAGAGGUUGUCCGAUACUUCCAGACUUGAGGGCAGUAGAGGGUGGUGGAAUUCCGGGUGUAGUGGUGAAAUGCGUAGAUAUCUGGAGGAACACCGGUGGCGAAGGCGGCAUCCUGGACCGACACUGACGCUGAGGAGCGAAAGCCAGGGGAGCAAACGGG
rnacentral:rRNA from 1 species